rnacentral:rRNA from 1 species
GACGUAGGGCGCGAGCGUUGUCCGGAUUUAUUGGGCGUAAAGAGCUCGUAGGCGGCUUGUCGUGUCGACUGUGAAAACCCGAGGCUCAACUUCGGGCUUGCAGUCGAUACGGGCAGGCUAGAGUUCGGUAGGGGAGACUGGAAUUCCUGGUGUAGCGGUGAAAUGCGCAGAUAUCAGGAGGAACACCGAUGGCGAAGGCAGGUCUCUGGGCCGAUACUGACGCUGAGGAGCGAAAGCGUGGGGAGCGAACAGG